GAGCCCAACCUCCCACCCGUGUUUACUGUACCUUAGUUGCUUCGGCGGGCCCGCCAUUCAUGGCCGCCGGGGGCUCUCAGCCCCGGGCCCGCGCCCGCCGGAGACACCACGAACUCUGUCUGAUCUAGUGAAGUCUGAGUUGAUUGUAUCGCAAUCAGUUAAAACUUUCAACAAUGGAUCUCUUGGUUCCGGCAUCGAUGAAGAACGCAGCGAAAUGCGAUAACUAGUGUGAAUUGCAGAAUUCCGUGAAUCAUCGAGUCUUUGAACGCACAUUGCGCCCCCUGGUAUUCCGGGGGGCAUGCCUGUCCGAGCGUCAUUGCUGCCCAUCAAGCACGGCUUGUGUGUUGGGUCGUCGUCCCCUCUCCGGGGGGGACGGGCCCCAAAGGCAGCGGCGGCACCGCGUCCGAUCCUCGAGCGUAUGGGGCUUUGUCACCCGCUCUGUAGGCCCGGCCGGCGCUUGCCGAACGCAAAUCAAUCUUUUCCAGGUUGACCUCGGAUCAGGUAGGGAUACCCGCUGAACUUAAGCAUAUCAAUAAGCG
rnacentral:rRNA from 1 species